rnacentral:rRNA from 1 species
UACGUAGGGGGCAAGCGUUGUCCGGAAUCAUUGGGCGUAAAGAGCGUGUAGGCGGUCCUGUAAGUCCGCUGUGAAAGUCAAGGGCUCAACCCUUGAAUGCCGGUGGAUACUGCAGGACUAGAGUCCGGAAGAGGCGAGUGGAAUUCCUGGUGUAGCGGUGAAAUGCGCAGAUAUCAGGAGGAACACCAAUAGCGAAGGCAGCUCGCUGGGACGGUAGCUGACGCUGAGGAGCGAAAGCGUGGGGAGCAAACAGG